rnacentral:rRNA from 1 species
GACGAACGCUGGCGGCGUGCCUAAUACAUGCAAGUCGAACGCAGUGGGGACGGGUGAGUAACCCGUGGGUAACCUCCCAUCAGAGGGGAUAACACUUGGAAACAGGUACUAAACCGAUACUGAUGGAUGGACCCGCGGUGCAUUAGCUAGCUGGGGAGGGAACGGCUCACCAAGGCCACGAGUCAUCGCCGGCCUGAGAGGGGGAUCGGCCACACUGGGACUGAGACACGGCCCAGACUCCUACGGGAGGCAGCAGUGGGGAAUCUUCGGCAAUGGGCGAAAGUCUGACCGAGCAACGCCGCGUGAGUGAAGAAGGUUUUCGGGUCGUAAAACUCUGUUAUUAGAGAAGCGGUAUCUAACCAGAAAGCCCCGGCUAACUACGUGCCAGCAGCCGCGGUAAUUC